rnacentral:rRNA from 1 species
GGAGGAAGGUGGGGACGACGUCAAGUCAUCAUGGCCCUUACGUCCUGGGCUACACACGUGCUACAAUGGUUGGUACAGACGGUCGCUAAGCCGCGAGGUGGAGCUAAUCCGAAAAAACCAAUCGUAGUCCGGAUUGGAGUCUGCAACUCGACUCCAUGAAGUCGGAAUCGCUAGUAAUCGUGAAUCAGAAUGUCACGGUGAAUACGUUCCCGGGCCUUGUACACACCGCCCGU